AAAACAGUCCUUUUCAGGACUACCACAAUAUUCCAUUGAAGAGUUGU
rfam:Aedes albopictus isolate Foshan contig151487, whole genome shotgun sequence.